rnacentral:rRNA from 1 species
GACGAACGCUGGCGGCGUGCUUAACACAUGUAAGUCGAACGGAAAGGCCCUGCUUUUGUGGGGUGCUCGAGUGGCGAACGGGUGAGUAACACGUGAGUAACCUGCCCUUGACUUUGGGAUAACUUCAGGAAACUGGGGCUAAUACCGGAUAGGAGCUCCUGCUGCAUGGUGGGGGUUGGAAAGUUUCGGCGGUUGGGGAUGGACUCCCGGCUUAUCAGCUUGUUGGUGGGGUAGUGGCUUACCAAGGCUUUGACGGGUAGCCGGCCUGAGAGGGUGACCGGCCACAUUGGGACUGAGAUACGGCCCAGACUCCAACGGGAGGCAGCAGUGGGGAAUAUUGCACAAUGGGCGGAAGCCUGAUGCAGCAACGCCGCGUGCGGGAUGACGGCCUUCGGGUUGUAAACCGCUUUCGCCUGUGACGAAGCGUGAGUGACGGUAAUGGGUAAAGAAGCACCGGCUAACUACGUG